GUAGGUGAACCUGCGGAAGGAUCAUUAACACGAAUUAUUUUAUUAUCCAAUAUCAAAAACCAAACGUGAACCUUUUUCCUCCCUAUAUAUUCCAUAUAUAUUAUAUAUAUUUAUUUAUAUAUCUCUAUGUGUUAUAUAUAGGCUAACCUCAUCUAUAUAAAUUUUAACACUAUAAACUUCAACUAGUUUUAAUUUAGCUAUUAAAACAUCUAAACUAAAAAAGACAAGGUUAUUCGAAAGAGUAAACUUU
rnacentral:misc_RNA from 1 species